rnacentral:RNase_P_RNA from 1 species
GGAUAGGUUUUAGUAGCUCUGAAAGUGCCACAGUGACGGAGUUUUUAGGGAAACCUAAAAAGUGGAACGCGGUAAACCCCUCAAGCUAGCAACCCAAACUUUGGUAGGGGCAUGGGAUGGCUGGAAACGAACGGACCAUUCUGACUGCUAUGCAGUAGACAGAUGAUUAUCGAAGGAAGUGGUACCUAGUCACUUCUGGAACAAAACAUGGCUUAUAGAA